UUAGAAUAUAGGCAAAAUUAGAGAAAUCUAAUGACGCAAAGCUAUAGGGGCUAAGAUUAUAAAUUAUGCCAGCCAGUUGCCAAA
rnacentral:ncRNA from 2 species